GUAAAAUUAGUUUAAAUAAAAUAGUAAAUUGUGGUUUUACAGAUAGUGUUUGUUGAUAUUAUUUUACU
rnacentral:tRNA from 1 species